UACGUAGGGCGCGAGCGUUGUCCGGAAUUAUUGGGCGUAAAGAGCUCGUAGGCGGCCUGUCGCGUCAAUUGUGAAAGCCCGGGGCUCAACCCCGGGUCUGCAGUCGAUACGGGCAGGCUAGAGUUCGGUAGGGGAGAUCGGAAUUCCUGGUGUAGCGGUGAAAUGCGCAGAUAUCAGGAGGAACACCGGUGGCGAAGGCGGAUCUCUGGGCCGAUACUGACGCUGAGGAGCGAAAGCGUGGGGAGCGAACAGG
rnacentral:rRNA from 1 species